UACGGGGGGAGCAAGCGUUGUUCGGAUUUACUGGGCGUAAAGGGCGCGUAGGCGGCCACCGCAAGUCGACUGUGAAAUCUCCGAGCUUAACCCGGAAAGGUCAGCCGAUACUGCGGGGCUAGAGUGCAGAAGGGGCAACUGGAAUUCUCGGUGUAGCGGUGAAAUGCGUAGAUAUCGAGAGGAACACCUGCGGCGAAGGCGGGUUGCUGGGCUGACACUGACGCUGAGGCGCGAAAGCUAGGGGAGCGAACGGG
rnacentral:rRNA from 1 species